rnacentral:rRNA from 1 species
UACGUAGGGUGCAAGCGUUUGUCCGGAAUUAUUGGGCGUAAAGAGCUCGUAGGCGGUCUGUCGCGUCGGCUGUGAAAACCCGGAGCUCAACUCCGGGCCUGCAGUCGAUACGGGCAAACUGGAGUACUGCAGGGGAGACUGGAAUUCCUGGUGUAGCGGUGAAAUGCGCAGAUAUCAGGAGGAACACCGGUGGCGAAGGCGGGGUCUCUGGGCAGUAACUGACGCUGGAGGAGCGAAAGCGUGGGGAGCGAACAGG